rnacentral:rRNA from 1 species
AGGAGGCAGCAGUGGGGAAUCUUGGACAAUGGGCGAAAGCCUGAUCCAGCCAUGCCGCGUGAGUGAUGAAGGUCUUCGGACUGUAAAACUCUUUUCUGAGGGAAGAACCGCCCCGCGAGGAAAUGCGCGGGGUUUGACGGUACCUCAGGAAUAAGCAACGGCUAACUCCGUGCCAGCAGCCGCGGUAAUACGGAGGUUGCAAGCGUUGUUCGGAAUGACUGGGCGUAAAGGGAGCGCAGCCGGCCCGAUUAGUCUGGAGUGAAAGCCCGGGGCUUAACCCCGGAGGGUCUUCGGAUACUGUCGAGCUCGAGUACGGAAGAGGAGAGUGGAAUUCCAGGUGUAGCGGUGAAAUGCGUAGAUAUCUGGAGGAACACCGGUGGCGAAAGCGGCUCUCUGGUCCGAUACUGACGGUCAGGCUCGAAAGCGUGGGGAGCAAACGGGAUUAGAUACCCGAGUAGUCCA